GGAUCCAGAAUUCAUGGAUAGGAGGGGCUGACAUCCUUCUUCCUCCUCCAGCACCCCCUCUCCUUCUUUCUUCUCUUCUUCUUCCCCUUAUUCCUCCUCUAUUUUUCCUUGAUGUGCAAGCACGUAGGGGGGGCUAGCGCACCCCCAGCCCCCACGCUAGAUCCGCCCCUGCCUUUUAAGUUAUAACCACCUUCCAUCUCCAUCGUGUUCCCUUCCAAGAUACUCCUAUACUCCGGCGCCACCAGCAUCGGCAUUCUACCUUGAUGCCGCUGCAUCGUGCCAUCGUGAGCCCGUGCCGGCGUGCCAGGUCACGUAGGCUCUAUCUGGUGCAGGUUGCCUCGGUGAGCCCGGUCCAGCCCGCGCCCGGCUGUUCCACGCCGACAUUGAGGAACAUGAAGGAGUGACUCGGGCGUUGCCGGGAAGCUGCGGCGGCGACUCCGGCAUGGCAGGCGGCGGAGCCGGAUGGAGGGGAGAGGAAUCGAGCGAAACCAGGGGGCUCCUUGUUGCUGGUGACGGGUGGCCCUGACAGUUUUGCACCAAGGGUGCUCGAUGGUUUGCCUGCAAGGGGGCAACGAUGAGGUAUGUGGGUUUGUGGUAGGGACACAUUUUUUGGCCUUCCACAGAACAAAGGUGCAUGCAUUCGACUAGUUUGAAUCGAACGGAUUCUAGGAGAAUUGCAUGGUCCAUUCAUAUUUCGCUCCUUAUCAAUGCUCUGAGUUCGUUCACUACAGCUAGCUUAUAUGGAAAAUUUGUAGUCAUCUCGCAAGGGUUGCUCGUUGGGAGCAUCCAUGAGACCGCGUGGACAAUCCAUCAAAUAAUCAAUUUAGCAGUAUAUUUUUGUUGCAUGUCAUAGAAAAUUCUUGAAAAAAAAUGCCAACUGCAGCUUAUAUUUCCAGAGACAACAUUGUUAGUAGCUAGAUAUUUUUGUACAGAAGUUCGUAGAUAGAUUGAUGUGAUUGAGAAGUGAGCUAAUAUCAAUGUCUGCUUGUUGACAAGCAGAUCAACAGCACACAGCAAGCUCGAUUUUUCCAGAGCGGCUCCAUUGUUGGAGGCGGACUUCCAUUAUGGGAGCUCCAUGCUGAGUUUUGAUGAACUGAGAGCAAGAGAAUCGAAGUUAUUGACACGAAUGAUAAACCAAGUUUCUUAUGACAGAAAGAAUUUAAAACUUGUUUUGCCAUGGCUCAACUCAUGAUUGUGCUUUUGUCACUGCACGAGUACUCUUAUUUUUGGCUAUGUAUUUUUUCAGUAGUAGGCAAUGUACCUGCCAACGGUGAGAUGACUAUUUGGUAACUUCAUCAACAUACUUACGUUUUCAUUGACGGUGACUGGUGAGUGUGUGUUCAUAUGAACGAGUGUGCGUCUCUAUUGUGUUUUAUAAGAUGAAAAAAAGAGAAUGAUAUGCAGUCAUCUAACUUAUGUUCCUUUUGAUAAAAAAAAAUUGUGAUUGGAUUGACUUAUCAUGGGCUUGUGGUAGACGAGUGGUGCAACGAUUCUGUAGCAGCAAUUUUUUUCUGUACUUCAUGUUUACCCCUUUUCUCUUAAUUAUAUUUCUCACCAACACAUUUAAUUUUGUGCUACUUGAUUCCACACUCAACAAUCCACCUAGAAGCUACUACAAUAUAUUUACUGUCUUCAACUAUAUAUAAGCGUCUGGAUGUGGAGCAGAAAGGAUUGGCUUGGGAGGCUCGAGAAAAUGUCUCAAAAGAAAGAAGGGGAUCUAUUUCGAAGCCGAUCAAGAACUGGAGCUAUCAGCAUCUCGCUCUCGAUUUUGGCACUCAUGAUUUUCGUUGCAACAGGGUGCAGAAUUCAGACAAAGAUUAUGAUACCACGAAAAGGACUUCAACUUCUUUAAACUAAAGCUGCACGCCUUGGUGUGAGAGAUUGGAAACGUAUAUCUGAUCUGCGGGUGCCGGUAGACACUGCUACGAUCUCGUGGUUUGCAGGAAGACAAGGAACUGUAUACAUUUAUACAACGUCUAACACUGUGAUUUGUUGCGUCUAGGAAAUCUGGUGAUCUUCCUUCAAAAAAGGAAAGCCGGUGAUCUGGACAGUUAGUUCAUAGUACGCAGUUCAAUAAAAAAUCCAGUAGUAGCAUCCA